UGGGGAAUAUUGCACAAUGGGCGCAAGCCUGAUGCAGCCAUGCCGCGUGUGUGAAGAAGGCCUUCGGGUUGUAAAGCACUUUCAGCGAGGAGGAAGGCGUUAAGGUUAAUAACCUUAGCGAUUGACGUUACUCGCAGAAGAAGCACCGGCUAACUCCGUGCCAGCAGCCGCGGUAAUACGGAGGGUGCAAGCGUUAAUCGGAAUUACUGGGCGUAAAGCGCACGCAGGCGGUUUGUUAAGUCAGAUGUGAAAUCCCCGAGCUUAACUUGGGAACUGCAUUUGAAACUGGCAAGCUAGAGUCUUGUAGAGGGGGGUAGAAUUCCAGGUGUAGCGGUGAAAUGCGUAGAGAUCUGGAGGAAUACCGGUGGCGAAGGCGGCCCCCUGGACAAAGACUGACGCUCAGGUGCGAAAGC
rnacentral:rRNA from 1 species